AUGUACCCACGUACAUUCCGGUUCCUCCGCGCGGUCCGCACCCACCUGACGACUGCUCGCUAAGUUUUUUUAGCC
rnacentral:sRNA from 1 species